ensembl:lncRNA
AAAUUACUUGCACAUUCAGUACAUUCGUCUUUUGUGGAGCAUGUAAACUUGUUUUCCGCAUAUUUCUCUGUGAGGAACGGAAGAAGCAACCACAGAGGGAAGGCUCUCUGUAGCUGAUGCUACAUUGGAAACAAAGGCUGUCUUGUGAAGGGAGAAAAGAUAUUUGGGAUGUACACUUCUUCUCUAUUCUUUCUCUACACACUUUUUUUCCCAGCAGGGCUGGAGCCAGAGGUGCUUUGUUUCCAGCUGCAGAAGCUGUUAGAGACAUUGGGGUAUAUUGUCUUGCCCUUGACAAACGUGAAGAUGUUCUGACACACCUUGCUUAAAACAGAAAAGGGGAAAAGAGCUGAAGAAGAGGAC